ACAAUGACCGCCCCCGUGGCCUGUGGACCCGCCAUCUCAGCGGCUUGGCCAGGCAGGGGCCCUCCUUCGCAGUUCUUCGGCGUUGGGCGACGGCUCCCCUCUCUUGGGGAUCGUCGUCAGAGUCCCAAGAUUUCAGGAGUAGGGCAGGGCGGAGCUUUUUCCUCAUCCCGGCUGAGGAAAGCUGCAGAGGAGCUUCAGGGAUGCCAAGCGAGAUCUCCAAGGAGUCCCAGGAUAAUUCAGGCCGGCUCAGACGCUGUGGGCGAUGUGUCUCCUUGAAAGCCUUCCCUGCUUGGAAUUCCAGGUUUUUCUCAGCGACAUCAGUCAAGAAGGCUGUGUGUUCAUGAAACUAAAGCUACAGGUUGAUAGAGCCUCGAACAAACUGAAUCACCAAGUCACUAUGUGGAGGAAACGACAUGGAGUUUUCCUGAAAACUGCAUUUGAAGUGUAAAAGCAGUAUGCACUACUGUAAUUGAGAUGACAAAUGCUGAAAUACAAGGAAGGAAGCAAGAAAUAAGAGACAAAAUGGAUUCUGAGAGAAAAAAAUAUUGCCAGUCAAAUGGAACUCAUUUUCACACAAAACAUUUGAAAUCAGUGCCUCCCUUUCAGAGUCACUGAAUGCACAGAUGUAUACAUGUAGCCUGUUGUUUCUGAAUUUUGUUUUACAACAUUAAAGUGAAUGGUGUCUGGAAAGACAUGUGUUUUUGAUGGUGGCACUCAGCAUCAGCUAUUAGUUUCUUCAAAUUAUGGUUUCUAAAUGCAUGGUAGGUCUGACCACGUUUUCAGAGUCUGUGGUGGAAUUUGAAAUAAAAGAGGGAGGAGAAAAGGAGUGAUUUUUUCUUUAAUUUUAUGUAAAUAAUAAAAUAGUUGUGUGAUUUUUGUUGUAACCCAAGAAAACAAGAUUUUAUGAACUACAAAUAAUAACAACUGAACCCUAGUUUUAUUCUGAACUCAUAUUAUUUUCUACUUGUUGGAUAUCAAAAUGUUAUUCCUACCAGGAAACUCAAGGGAAAACAGAUAUGUGGUAGUUUCCCUUUGUUUGUUUUGCAAUUCUUUUACAUGAAAACUAUAUUGAGGGGGGAAAUUUUAGUUUUUUAGUUAACUGCUCUAAGAUAUUCAAGUCUUUUGCUUGGAACUUCAUGGCAGGUCAGUUUUAAAUGGAGGGAGAUAAUCAUCUCCCCAUGUUCUCUAAACCUUCACUGCAGAAGGCACUGCACCAGCUGCUUAACUGUACACUGGGAAGCCAAUCUUUACUUUGAAAGGCCAAGACUGAUGCCUUUGUGUCUGCCACUCGGGUCCCCACACAGGUGAACCCAUCCUUGUAUGUCAAGAUCCUCUUCUGUCUCCUGCUUUCAGCCUUGUGCUGCCUCCAUUGGUAUAACUGCAUGAUGUGUGUUCCCAGUAACUCAGAGAGAGUUUUUUUUUCUUUAUUUUCCCCAAUGUGAAAGAAACAACAGGGAUGCUAAUUACACUUAAUGGAACUUGGCACAAUUUCUCAGGAGGUAGUGCUAAUUUGCAGAAGGUAGCACUUCAGAUUUGCUGAUAAAAGGCUGGGGAUCAAAAGGUGGCUGUGGGAGACAGAGAACUAUGUAUUUUUCAUCCACCACUGCCUUGGUGAGAAUAACAAUGUCUUCCACACUAUAAACACACUAGUGGGAAGAUUUACUUUUAUGAUAUACUUUAUUAGGAAAAUGUGUAGUGCAUUGAGGAGUAAAAAGAGAGAAACUGCUGGACAUGUAUGUGAAAAGAGCAGUUUUUCUGACGGGAUUUGGAAACCCUAUGGUGGUAAAUUUAUUGUGGGGUAUUUAGAUUUUAGGUAAUACAAGAAAAUAUGGAAUUAUUGGUUAAUGCCAAUGCACUUUAAGUCCAAGAUGCAGAAUUCUA